GUUUGGACUAAAAGCUUAUAGAAUUUACGGAAACAUAAUGAUGUUCAGAGCUGCAAGCUUGCUGCUGUUUUUAGUAAUUGCAUUGCUUUGCUGCGGAAGAGCAGUUUUUGCUGAAGAAUGUAUUCGACACGCUAAUGAUGCACUCACGGAUUCCAAGCUAGGCGAGACUGUCACUAAGGUGGAGUAGGAAAGCAAGCGUGUUAUAUUUUCCAAAGAUACUUCCAAAUACUACUGUAAUACUAUUUACAAAUCUUCUAGAUUCCUCCUGCGUCUCAUCAACACCAGCGCAGGAGAAAUCCAGAAGAUUUGUAAACAAUAAGUGCAUUUAAAAUGUAAAAUAAAAAACUGCUUCGAAA